rnacentral:tRNA from 1 species
GGCCCCAUCGUCUAGUGGUUAGGACUCCAGAUUUUCAAUCUGGCAACCGGAGUUCGACUCUCCGUGGGGUCA